AUAAAUGCAAUGAUGGAGAAAAAAGUUUUCUAGAGACAAGUUUCAGAGAGUCGAUGGUGGUGAAAAUCGAUACUGUCAUGAAAAUACACUCACUCCAGAGCAGAUUUUCCGAAAACAGUAGGAAAAUACGGAAGCCACGUUACAGGCUGAGAGUUUGAUUGAACUCGAAUGAGAGAUUUGGAUAUCUUAUGAUAUUCGGAUAAACAGAGUGGUACCGCGGGUAAAUACAUCCCGUCUCUGAC
rnacentral:ncRNA from 1 species